rnacentral:rRNA from 1 species
GGACAGAAAGACCCUAUGAAGCUUUACUGUAGUUUGGAAUUGGGUUCGGGCUCUUCUUGCGCAGCCUAGGUGGGAGGCUAUGAAGAUAAACUUUGGGUUUAUUGGAGCCAACAGUGAGAGACCACUCUAGAGGAGCUAGAAUUCUAAUGGCGUUCCUUGAAGCAGGACGCUUGACAGUUUCAGAUGGGCAGUUUGACUGGGGCGGUCACCUCCUAAAAGGUAACGGAGGUGUGCAAAGGUUCCCUCAGGCUGGACGGAAAUCAGCCGUAGAGUGUAAAGGCAGAAGGGAGCUUGACUGCAAGACCUACAAGUCGAGCAGGGGCGAAAGCCGGCCUUAGUGAUCCGACGGUUCCGAGUGGAAGGGCCGUCGCUAAACGGAUAAAAGUUACUCUAGGGAUAACAGGCUGA